rnacentral:rRNA from 1 species
UACGAAGGGGGCUAGCGUUGUUCGGAAUUACUGGGCGUAAAGGGCGCGUAGGCGGUCCUGAUCGUCGGAUGUGAAAGGCCUGGGCUCAACCUGGGAAUGGCAUCCGAUACGGCGGGACUGGAGUGUGGGAGAGGUUGGUGGAAUUCCCAGUGUAGAGGUGAAAUUCGUAGAUAUUGGGAAGAACACCGGUGGCGAAGGCGGCCAACUGGACCACAACUGACGCUGAGGCGCGAAAGCGUGGGGAGGCAAACAGGAUGA